UAGGGAAUCUUCCGCAAUGGACGCAAGUCUGACGGAGCAACGCCGCGUGAGCGAUGAAGGUCUUCGGAUCGUAAAGCUCUGUUGUCAGGGAAGAACACGUGUGAGAGUAACUGCUCACACCUUGACGGUACCUGACCAGAAAGCCACGGCUAACUACGUGCCAGCAGCCGCGGUAAUACGUAGGUGGCAAGCGUUGUCCGGAAUUAUUGGGCGUAAAGGGCUCGCAGGCGGUCCCGUAAGUCUGAUGUGAAAUCUUGCGGCAUAACCGCAAGCGGUCAUUGGAAACUGGGGGACUUGAGUACAGAAGAGGAGAGUGGAAUUCCACGUGUAGCGGUGAAAUGCGUAGAGAUGUGGAGGAACGCCAGUGGCGAAGGCGGCUCUCUGGUCUGUAACUGACGCUGAGGAGCGAAAGCGUGGGGAGCAAACAGG
rnacentral:rRNA from 1 species